GGGGACCUGAGGGAGCUGCUGAGGAAGGAGUCUGUGACAGACAGCUGAGGCUGAGGUUCUUGGGCUGAGGUGAAGGAGGAUCUAUAAUGAAGCCAAUGUGAAAGUUGAGUUCACCAGGUCUUUGCUUAAUCACCAGUUCCUGAUGACUCAUUGAAGACCCAUGGCUUUUCAUUUGUUGCUCAAGAGAGUCACACCUGCAUUCUUUAUGUGCAGAACCAGAGCAUAGUUCAUCUCUUUUCAUAACUUCAGGUGAGCAGAGGAUCCUGGCAAGAAAAUAAGACAUAAGGAGAAUCUCCUUGGGUAAAGUAUCUGCCAACUACUUCAAGUUCUGGAUUUAUGGUAAAAAGAAAACCAUAAACUAAAAAGAACAAAUAUUGACUGAGUCAGUGCAUGACAAGUCUUUACUUUUAACACUAAUGAAGAACAAAUACAGUUUAGAAAGAGGAGCAUCUAUGGAAGCAACCAUGAUACUUUUGUUAAAAUUGAUUACUCUGAGACACUCUUCCCUGAUGCUUUCAUCAAUAAUCAUUUUAUUGUUCUCUGUUAAGUUAAGGUGAUCUUUACAAUUUAAUAUGGUAAAGUAAUUAGGCACUCAUUUCUUCCUCUUACAAAUUGUGGAGCUGGCCAUUCUAUUUUCAACAGCCUUGCUAAUAAAUGAAGAUAGCC
ensembl:lincRNA uncharacterized LOC110310150